rnacentral:rRNA from 1 species
CAUUAACGUAUCUCCCACCGGGGGGGUUGGGUGGCCCUGCUCCAGUUUCCGACUGUGCAGCGGGCCUCUGCCCCCCUGGACACUACAAACCCACUGUGCACCUUUUCGUGGCGAGAGGACGCGGCGCGAGCCCGUCUGAACCCACGGUCUCUCAGACACAAGUUUAAGAAUGUCCGAGCGGACUCUGCUCCGCCCACAAACGUAACAACUUUCAACAACGGAUCUCUUGGCUCUCGCAUCGAUGAAGAACGCAGCGAAAUGCGAUAAGUAAUGUGAUUGCAGAAUUCAGUGAAUCAUCGAAUCUUUGAACGCACCUUGCGCUCCUUGGUAUUCCGAGGAGCAUGCCUGUUUGAGUGUCAUGAAGUCAUCAACCCCUCACGUUUUCCUUGCGGGGGUGGGUUGGAUCUGGGGCCUGUGCCGCUGACAAUGUGGCUCCCCUCAAAUGCAUCGGUUGGGCCUGCGGGUCGAACUCGAUUGGGCGUUGUACCAUCCUCGCUCACCGAGACCUUGCGCCUUGACCUCGACCUGCCUGUGGAGUGGCGGUCAAACACUUUCUUGAAAUCUGACCUCAAAUCAGGUAGGACUACCCGCUGAACUUAAGCAUAU